GGGUCCACAGCGACUGGGCCAGGGCAGCCGGCGCGCGCAGAGGACUGGGGUGGACCCCUAGAGCGGUCGGCUGCCCAGACCGGCCAUGUUGUGUUUUUUCUAAACCUUUUGUUGUGAACAAACAAGUUCGUUGUAGGGUGAGAUGAUAAUCCCAGGAGAACUCCACAACAAACACUCUUCAGGCUAAUGUAUGUCUCAGAAUCUGUUUUCUAGCACCUGGGAACCCAACUGGCCAUGGUGUAUGUCAAGCACUGUAUUGAGGAAAAAAAACACAACAAAUAUUUGGAAAAGAUAGAGGCUUGUUAGUAAUUUUCAUAAACCUGAUAUAAUCAGAAGCAGCAUCCAAGUCUAGCUUUGUGCCUCACUCUUCUCUUACACCUGGGGAUUCAAGUCUGGAUCCUCUGCUCCAUAUUUAUUUAGCAAAUAAAACACUGAUCUCAAACAGCAACGGAACCUGUGUACUUGAG